rnacentral:rRNA from 1 species
ACGCUCGACACCUACGGGAGGCGCAGUGGGGGAUAUUGCACAAUGGAGGAAACUCUGAUGCAGCGACGCCGCGUGAGGGAAGAAGGUUUUCGGAUUGUAAACCUCUGUCUUCGGUGACGAAAAUGACGGUAGCCGAGGAGGAAGCCACGGCUAACUACGUGCCAGUAGCCGCGGUAAUCUGAGCGGGCUGGCAAGGC